rnacentral:rRNA from 1 species
GCCCUUGACUCUGGGAUAAGCCUGGGAAACUGGGUCUAAUACUGGAUACUACCUCUUGCCGCAUGGUGGGUGGUGGAAAGGGUUUUACUGGUUUUGGAUGGGCUCACGGCCUAUCAGCUUGUUGGUGGGGUAAUGGCUCACCAAGGCGACGACGGGUAGCCGGCCUGAGAGGGUGACCGGCCACACUGGGACUGAGACACGGCCCAGACUCCUACGGGAGGCAGCAGUGGGGAAUAUUGCACAAUGGGCGGAAGCCUGAUGCAGCGACGCCGCGUGAGGGAUGACGGCCUUCGGGUUGUAAACCUCUUUCAGUAGGGAAGAAGCGAGAGUGACGGUACCUGCAGAAGAAGCGCCGGCUAACUACGUGCCAGCAGCCGCGGUAAUACGUAGGGCGCAAGCGUUGUCCGGAAUUAUUGGGCGUAAAGAGCUCGUAGGCGGUUUGUCGCGUCUGCUGUGAAAGCCCGGGGCUCAACCCCGGGUCUGCAGUGGGUACGGGCAGACUAGAGUGCAGUAGGGGAGACUGGAAUUCCUGGUGUAGCGGUGAAAUGCGCAGAUAUCAGGAGGAACACCGAUGGCGAAGGCAGGUCUCUGGGCUGUUACUGACGCUGAGGAGCGAAAGCAUGGGGAGCGAACAGGAUUAGAU